GAUGAACGCUGGCGGCGUGCCUAAUACAUGCAAGUCGAGCGAACAGACGAGGAGCUUGCUCCUCUGACGUUAGCGGCGGACGGGUGAGUAACACGUGGAUAACCUACCUAUAAGACUGGGAUAACUUCGGGAAACCGGAGCUAAUACCGGAUAAUAUAUUGAACCGCAUGGUUCAAUAGUGAAAGACGGUUUUGCUGUCACUUAUAGAUGGAUCCGCGCCGCAUUAGCUAGUUGGUAAGGUAACGGCUUACCAAGGCAACGAUGCGUAGCCGACCUGAGAGGGUGAUCGGCCACACUGGAACUGAGACACGGUCCAGACUCCGACGGGAGGCAGCAGUAGGGAAUCUUCCGCAAUGGGCGAAGGCCUGACGGAGCAACGCCGCGUGAGUGAUGAAGGUCUUCGGAUCGUAAAACUCUGUUAUUAGGGAAGAACAAAUGUGUAAGUAACUAUGCACGUCUUGACGGUACCGAAUCAGAAAGCCACGGCUAACUACGU
rnacentral:rRNA from 1 species